GUCGAACGAUGAUGCCCAGCUUGCUGGGCGGAUUAGUGGCGAACGGGUGAGUAAUACGUGAGUAACCUGCCCUUGACUCUGGGAUAAGCCUGGGAAACUGGGUCUAAUACUGGAUACUACCUCUUACCGCAUGGUGGGUGGUGGAAAGGGUUUUACUGGUUUUGGAUGGGCUCACGGCCUAUCAGCUUGUUGGUGGGGUAAUGGCUCACCAAGGCGACGACGGGUAGCCGGCCUGAGAGGGUGACCGGCCACACUGGGACUGAGACACGGCCCAGACUCCUACGGGAGGCAGCAGUGGGGAAUAUUGCACAAUGGGCGGAAGCCUGAUGCAGCGACGCCGCGUGAGGGAUGACGGCCUUCGGGUUGUAAACCUCUUUCAGUAGGGAAGAAGCGAGAGUGACGGUACCUGCAGAAGAAGCGCCGGCUAACUACGUGCCAGCAGCCGCGGUAAUACGUAGGGCGCAAGCGUUGUCCGGAAUUAUUGGGCGUAAAGAGCUCGUAGGCGGUUUGUCGCGUCUGCUGUGAAAGCCCGGGGCUCAACCCCGGGUCUGCAGUGGGUACGGGCAGACUAGAGUGCAGUAGGGGAGACUGGAAUUCCUGGUGUAGCGGUGAAAUGCGCAGAUAUCAGGAGGAACACCGAUGGCGAAGGCAGGUCUCUGGGCUGUUACUGACGCUGAGGAGCGAAAGCAUAGAGUGCAGUAGGGGAGACUGGAAUUCCUGGUGUAGCGGUGAAAUGCGCAGAUAUCAGGAGGAACACCGAUGGCGAAGGCAGGUCUCUGGGCUGUUACUGACGCUGAGGAGCGAAAGCAUGGGGAGCGAACAGGAUUAGAUACCCUGGUAGUCCAUGCCGUAAACGUUGGGCACUAGGUGUGGGGGACAUUCCACGUUUUCCGCGCCGUAGCUAACGCAUUAAGUGCCCCGCCUGGGGAGUACGGCCGCAAGGCUAAAACUCAAAGGAAUUGACGGGGGCCCGCACAAGCGGCGGAGCAUGCGGAUUAAUUCGAUGCAACGCGAAGAACCUUACCAAGGCUUGACAUUCACCGGACCGCCCCAGAGAUGGGGUUUCCCUUCGGGGCUGGUGGACAGGUGGUGCAUGGUUGUCGUCAGCUCGUGUCGUGAGAUGUUGGGUUAAGUCCCGCAACGAGCGCAACCCUCGUUCUAUGUUGCCAGCACGUGAUGGUGGGGACUCAUAGGAGACUGCCGGGGUCAACUCGGAGGAAGGUGGGGAUGACGUCAAAUCAUCAUGCCCCUUAUGUCUUGGGCUUCACGCAUGCUACAAUGGCCGGUACAAAGGGUUGCGAUACUGUGAGGUGGAGCUAAUCCCAAAAAGCCGGUCUCAGUUCGGAUUGAGGUCUGCAACUCGACCUCAUGAAGUCGGAGUCGCUAGUAAU
rnacentral:rRNA from 1 species